UCCAGCACUAAAUUACUUGGAGGUGGCCA
rnacentral:piRNA from 1 species